CCCUUAGAUGUUCUGGGCUGCACGCGCGCUACACUGAUGCGCUCAACGAGUUUACGAACUUGCCCGGAAGGGUUGGUUAAUCUUUUUAAAACGCAUCGUGAUGGGGAUAGAUUAUUGCAAUUAUUAAUCUUCAACGAGGAAUUCCUAGUAAGCGCGAGUCAUCAGCUCGCACUGAUUACGUCCCUGCCCUUUGUACACACCGCCCGUCGCUCCUACCGAUUGAAUGGCUUAGUGAGGCCUCAGGAUCCGCGCUUAAUGUGUGGAGAAUUUGGACAAACUACGUCAUUUAGAGGAAGUAAAAGUCGUAACA
rnacentral:rRNA from 1 species